AUAUAACAUGUUUCCUUAGGCUCAAUGCUCUCCCUUGUUCCCAGAAGAGGACCAGACAGCACAGUUUGCUGUUAGACGCUGAGCUUUCUGCAUGUUCCUUCAUGGAGUUCACCCUUUGCUAACUUGGGAACUGAGUAAUCAUUAUUUGGUUAAUUGCCCUCAUCUGAAAGAACAGUCUAACUUCUCUCAUUUCCCUGAAAAGACAUGGUUACAGCCAGGAUUCAACUGAGGUUAAGCUCCCAAGAUGUCAGGGAGCCUGGAGCUCCAACUUUCUGGUGUUCAGACUUCAAAAGGGAUGUAUCCCAGACACUUGAAGACCUCUCUGAGCUGCAAAGCUGCGUAUGGUUUUCUUUAGUCCUUGAGGAGUUUUAUUGACAUUCAAAAUUUUAGAGAAACUAGAUUGGUGCUGCCAUUAUGGAAAACACUAUGGAGAUUCUUCUAAAAAAUGAAAAUAGAACUACCAUAUGACCCAGCUAUUCCACUCCUGGGGACUUACCCAAAGAACAGAGGAACACUAAUUUGAAAGGAUAAUGCACCUAUGUUCUUUUCAGCCUCAUGUUGGUGACGACAAAAGCUACGUGAUGCAGGAGAGUGGAAGAUGAGAAUGAGGAGCUGAGGGAGCUGAGAGACCAGAGUGUUAGAUGACUGUCUAUUCAUUGUUAGCGUCUCUAAGAGCACAGUGAACUAGGAGCUAGAAUUUUUAACAAAUGAAGGCUGUGUUGACCCAGAAGUGGGUAGAUGACUUCCACAAAGGAUAAUGUAGUCUGAAUACACAUGCUUUGAAGGAGUUUCUCUUUUUAAUGGGAGGAGAAGGAGAAAGUAUCUGGAAGCUGUCAUAAGAAGCAAGGAGGAAACCUAAGUUUGCUGGCAUCUAUGAAAAGUAUGGGAGAAACAAAUCACCACUGAAGACCACUUGAGAAGUCUGUGAGGAGAACAGUGUCCACAGAUUUCGUGUUGUCUGGACCACAAAAAGGAUACUGCAGUUGGUCCAUGCCUUGCUGGUUGAUGGGUCCCAUGUUGUUGUACACAGAGGUGCUGCUCUGGAGAGCUGCCAGGGCAAAGAUCCAGGAGUCCUUCUGGUUGUCUCCAUAGAAGCCACUGUAGAGGCUGCAGAGAACAAUGAAUAAGAUCCCACGGUUCCAACUCAGAUGGACAAAGUCUGAAUCUACCUGACUGCAUUUAACUCUGGACACUUAGGUUAGUCAUUUCCCUGUGCAAAUUUUUAUCCAUCUAUAAGUGAAAUUGUAAAUGUUAAAUUCAUGGUGCUGUGAAAUUUCAAUAAGGCAUUGUAUAUAAGUGUCUAUGAGAGUGUAAACCAAAUGAGCACUUGGUAGCAGUGGCUAUUAUGAUCAGAUCAUAAAAUUCAAACAUAUUCCUCAA